CAGCGUGAAGCACCCAGGGAAGAGAAGUAGCGCCGAACCUUUACGGCAAAUUUCCGUACGCCGUAACUUCUCCGUCCGAACUCUGAUCGCCGCACCGUUUGCAGCCACGCGUCCACCGCGUCGAGCUCUGCAUUUCUAUCGGAACAAUUUCAUAGGAUCCAAUUAGCUUGAGGAAAACGUUCACUCUUGCUUAUGUGAAGUUUGGGUAAGGUUGUGAAUAAAUAAUUGGAGCUUGAAAUUGUGAAUAUUGGAACUUGGAGAAAGCUGAUUAGUUGAAUUUUGAAGGGGCUGCCUUGGUUUUAAAUAAUUUGCU